UCUAAGGAGCGUGGAGGGCCUCUUCGGAGGUCGUGCCACCAAUCCUAGGUCAGCCCCGCGCCGGAGACGGCGCUGGGAGGCGACUCGAGGGAGGGUCCGCAGCUCUCCGUCACACUCUUGCUAUUCAGUUUCCAGGGACCGAGCCCGCGCCCCGCAGGCGCAGCAGGUUCUUUGAUAGUCAUCGCUGGAGCGUCGGAAUCAGUCAGGCCGGGCCUAUAGCUCAGUUGGUCUAGAGCGCACGCCUGAUAAGCGUGAGGUCGGUGGUUCAAAUCCACCUAGGCCCACCACCUUCCGACUUCCGAGCUUGUUUCGGGGCUGUAGCUCAGUUGGUAGAGCGCCAGCUUUGCAAGCUGGAUGUCGUCGGUUCGACUCCGAUCAGCUCCACAAAGCCUUUUUCUCGGGACUUCGGGUCCUGGGACGGCGCGGCCAGGACGGCGCUCCGAAAGACGGGCUCUCUGACAAUCGAAUACGAUGGGUAAGAAGCAUCGACCAGCGUGGUCUUUGCGAGGCACCGGUGUCCGCCGUCACGGGGACCUGGACCUCGACCUCGACGAAGGUUCCUCGAGCGCGAGCUCGAGCGGCCCGAGUUAUGGGUGACCAAGCUACUAAGGGCAUGUGGUGGAUGCCUUGGCUCUAGGAGGCGACGAAGGACGUGGGUAGCUGCGAUAAGCUACGGGGAGCCGCUAACCAGGCUUUGAUCCGUAGAUUU
rnacentral:misc_RNA from 1 species